rnacentral:rRNA from 1 species
UACAGAGGUCCCAAGCGUUGUUCGGAUUCAUUGGGCGUAAAGGGCGCGUAGGCGGCCUUCUAAGUCGAACGUGAAAUCCCCGGGCUCAACCCGGGAACUGCGUCCGAUACUGGAAGGCUUGAAUCCGGGAGAGGGAUGCAGAAUUCCAGGUGUAGCGGUGAAAUGCGUAGAUAUCUGGAGGAAUACCGGUGGCGAAGGCGGCAUCCUGGACCGGCAUUGACGCUGAGGAGCGAAAGCCAGGGGAGCAAACGGG